AGUGAACGCUGGCGGUAGGCCUAACACAUGCAAGUCGAACGGCAGCACAGUAAGAGCUUGCUCUUACGGGUGGCGAGUGGCGGACGGGUGAGGAAUACAUCGGAAUCUACUUUUUCGUGGGGGAUAACGUAGGGAAGCUUACGCUAAUACCGCAUACGACCUACGGGUGAAAGCAGGGGAUCUUCGCACCUUGCGCGAUUGAAUGAGCCGCUGUCGGAUUAGCUAGUUGGCGGGGUAAAGGCCCACCAAGGCGACGAUCCGUAGCUGGUCGGAGAGGAUGAUCAGCAACACUGGAACUGAGACACGGUCCAGACUCCUACGGGAGGCAGCAGUGGGGAAUAUUGGACAAUGGGCGCAAGCCUGAUCCAGCCAUACCGCGUGGGUGAAGAAGGCCUUCGGGUUGUAAAGCCCUUUUGUUGGGAAAGAAAAGCAGCAGGUUAAUACCCCGCUGUUCUGACGGUACCCAAAGAAUAAGCACCGGCUAACUUCGUG
rnacentral:rRNA from 1 species